UACGUAGGGUGCAAGCGUUAAUCGGAAUUACUGGGCGUAAAGCGUGCGCAGGCGGUUGUGUAAGGCAGAUGUGAAAUCCCCGGGCUUAACCUGGGAACUGCAUUUGUGACUGCACGGCUGGAGUGCGGCAGAGGGGGAUGGAAUUCCGCGUGUAGCAGUGAAAUGCGUAGAUAUGCGGAGGAACACCGAUGGCGAAGGCAAUCCCCUGGGCCUGCACUGACGCUCAUGCACGAAAGCGUGGGGAGCAAACAGG
rnacentral:rRNA from 1 species